GACGAACGCUGGCGGCGUGCUUAACACAUGCAAGUCGAACGGAAAGGCCCUGCUUUUGUGGGGUGCUCGAGUGGCGAACGGGUGAGUAACACGUGAGUAACCUGCCCUUGACUUUGGGAUAACUUCAGGAAACUGGGGCUAAUACCGGAUAGGAGCUCCUGCUGCAUGGUGGGGGUUGGAAAGUUUCGGCGGGUGGGGAUGGACUCGCGGCUUAUCAGCUUGUUGGUGGGGUAGUGGCUGACCAAGGCUUUGACGGGUAGCCGGCCUGAGAGGGUGACCGGCCACAUUGGGACUGAGAUACGGCCCAGACUCCUACGGGGGGCAGCAGUGGGGAAUAUUGCACAAUGGGCGGAAGCCUGAUGCAGCAACGCCGCGUGCGGGAUGACGGCCUUCGGGUUGUAAACCGCUUUCGCCUGUGACGAAGCGUGAGUGACGGUAAUGGGUAAAGAAGCACCGGCUAACUACGUG
rnacentral:rRNA from 1 species